rnacentral:lncRNA from 1 species
AUGCUAUUUAUGUUCGUUUUAACUUCAUUCCAAUCUGUUUGCAUUACAUUGAACAUUUGCUUCGACAGACGUUGUUUUUUUUUCCUGCUGAAGGCGAGCAGAUUGUGCUUGGUAUCGCAAGUCCUCCACAAACAUUCCAUAGCUGUGACAGGACCUGCACCUUAUCGCAUUUUAAUCCUUCACACAUAUAAAAUACUUUCAUUAAAUCCCGUCUCCGUGCGACUUCCCAUAGUCCGCUCACAGCCGCAGCGCCGUACACAACGAGGGCAAGGCGCGGCAGGGCCGGGCCCACUGCGGCACGGGGGCCCUCCCGGGGCCGGCGCCGUGAGGCGGCUCCCGCCCAGCCACCGGCACGCAGCGGGCACUACGAGUACCGAGAUGCAGCGCGCGGAGGGGCGGGCUCCGUGGGCACUACAGAUCCCACAAUGCUCCGCGUCGCCCUGUGGCUCCGCUCGGGGAGGCUGGUUCCUAUUUAAAUCUGGGCAGCGAGGAAAAUGGCGGCGAGAGGUUGAGCGCGGGGGAGACGGGGACAGAGCUGCGCCUUGGCUCCUUUCCCAGUCCAUGAAAACAAAGCCAUUAGAUUCAGUGCCCUUGGAGUACUGCUGGUGCUACUCAGGAAAGCCAGGCAUUCCUACCAGCUUCUGUUGGAGAGAGAAGACUGCUAGGGCUAAGCUUUGCGUGUCCUAGGGAGGAAAAAAGGACCACAUGUACUGAAUGUAGAAGAUUGCAAAAAUGAGUUUGUUUUAUUUACAGGAGGAACUUCUUGUGUCUUCCAGUAGGAGAAAUAAUUAUGCUCCUUAUUCAAUGUCUAUUUAAUAUAAUUCUAAAUUGAGAGGGUAGAGGUGAAUUAUCCUGGAUAUGCAAAUGAAGAAGGAAGGGGAAUUGCAAGCUCUGUGAUUGUCACUGUACUUGUUUUAAUUGUUCUAUAUCUGUAAUUUAUUAAAAAGAAAAAAUA